GUGGGGAAUAUUGGACAAUGGGCGAAAGCCUGAUCCAGCCAUGCCGCGUGUGUGAAGAAGGUCUUCGGAUUGUAAAGCACUUUAAGUUGGGAGGAAGGGCAGUAAGUUAAUACCUUGCUGUUUUGACGUUACCGACAAAAUAAGCACCGGCUAACUUCGUGCCAGCAGCCGCGGUAAUACGAAGGGUGCAAGCGUUAAUCGGAAUUACUGGGCGUAAAGCGCGCGUAGGUGGUUCAGCAAGUUGGAGGUGAAAUCCCCGGGCUCAACCUGGGAACUGCCUCCAAAACUACUGGGCUAGAGUACGGUAGAGGGUAGUGGAAUUUCCUGUGUAGCGGUGAAAUGCGUAGAUAUAGGAAGGAACACCAGUGGCGAAGGCGACUACCUGGACUGAUACUGACACUGAGGUGCGAAAGCGUGGGGAGCAAACAGGAUUAGAAACCCUGGUAGUCC
rnacentral:rRNA from 1 species